GAUAAGGAGCAUUUCUGAAUAUUUGGUGUGCAGACACACUUCAAAAACUUCAAGUGAUGAGCUGAACACCAAAACCUGAAGUCCAGUCUGAAGAAAACAUCUCUGCUCUUCAAAAUGGGAAAAAA